rnacentral:rRNA from 1 species
CUGCUGCCUUCCGUAGGAGUCUGGUCCGUGUCUCAGUACCAGUGUGGGGGGCCUUCCUCUCAGAACCCCUACGCAUCGUCGCCUCGGUGGGCCGUUACCCCGCCGACUAGCUAAUGCGCCGCAUGCCCAUCCGUGGCCGGGAUUGCCCCCUUUGGCGGCCUUGGGAUGCCCCAAGGCCGCGUUACGCGGUAUUAGACGGGGUUUCCCCGCUUAUCCCCCUGCCACGGGCAGGUUGCAUACGUGUUACUCACCCGUGCGCGGUCGCCGGCAACGG